CUAUCAUGCAGUCGAGCGGACAGAAGGGAGCUUGCUCCCGGAUGUUAGCGGCGGACGGGUGAGUAACACGUGGGUAACCUGCCUGUAAGACUGGGAUAACUCCGGGAAACCGGAGCUAAUACCGGAUAGUUCCUUGAACCGCAUGGUUCAAGGAUGAAAGACGGUUUCGGCUGUCACUUACAGAUGGACCCGCGGCGCAUUAGCUAGUUGGUGAGGUAACGGCUCACCAAGGCGACGAUGCGUAGCCGACCUGAGAGGGUGAUCGGCCACACUGGGACUGAGACACGGCCCAGACUCCUACGGGAGGCAGCAGUAGGGAAUCUUCCGCAAUGGACGAAAGUCUGACGGAGCAACGCCGCGUGAGUGAUGAAGGUUUUCGGAUCGUAAAGCUCUGUUGUUAGGGAAGAACAAGUGCAAGAGUAACUGCUUGCACCUUGACGGUACCUAACCAGAAAGCCACGGCUAACUACGUGCCAGCAGCCGCGGUAAUACGUAGGUGGCAAGCGUUGUCCGGAAUUAUUGGGCGUAAAGGGCUCGCAGGCGGUUUCUUAAGUCUGAUGUGAAAGCCCCCGGCUCAACCGGGGAGGGUCAUUGGAAACUGGGAAACUUGAGUGCAGAAGAGGAGAGUGGAAUUCCACGUGUAGCGGUGAAAUGCGUAGAGAUGUGGAGGAACACCAGUGGCGAAGGCGACUCUCUGGUCUGUAACUGACGCUGAGGAGCGAAAGCGUGGGGAGCGAACAGGAUUAGAUACCCUGGUAGUCCACGCCGUAAACGAUGAGUGCUAAGUGUUAGGGGGUUUCCGCCCCUUAGUGCUGCAGCUAACGCAUUAAGCACUCCGCCUGGGGAGUACGGUCGCAAGACUGAAACUCAAAGGAAUUGACGGGGGCCCGCACAAGCGGUGGAGCAUGUGGGUUUAAUUCGAAGCAACGCGAAGAACCUUACCAGGUCUUGACAUCCUCUGACAACCCUAGAGAUAGGGCUUUCCCUUCGGGGACAGAGUGACAGGUGGUGCAUGGUUGUCGUCAGCUCGUGUCGUGAGAUGUUGGGUUAAGUCCCGCAACGAGCGCAACCCUUGAUCUUAGUUGCCAGCAUUCAGUUGGGCACUCUAAGGUGACUGCCGGUGACAAACCGGAGGAAGGUGGGGAUGACGUCAAAUCAUCAUGCCCCUUAUGACCUGGGCUACACACGUGCUACAAUGGACAGAACAAAGGGCUGCGAGACCGCAAGGUUUAGCCAAUCCCACAAAUCUGUUCUCAGUUCGGAUCGCAGUCUGCAACUCGACUGCGUGAAGCUGGAAUCGCUAGUAAUCGCGGAUCAGCAUGCCGCGGUGAAUACGUUCCCGGGCCUUGUACACACCGCCCGUCACACCACGAGAGUUUGCAACACCCGAAGUCGGUGAGGUAACCUUUAUGGAGCCAGCCGCCGA
rnacentral:rRNA from 1 species